AACCCUUGACAUCCUGUGCUAACCCGAGAGAUCGGGCGUUCACUUCGGUGACGCAGUGACAGGUGCUGCAUGGCUGUCGUCAGCUCGUGUCGUGAGAUGUUCGGUUAAGUCCGGCAACGAGCGCAACCCACAUCCUUAGUUGCCAGCAGUUCGGCUGGGCACUCUAAGGAAACUGCCCGUGAUAAGCGGGAGGAAGGUGUGGAUGACGUCAAGUCCUCAUGGCCCUUACGGGUUGGGCUACACACGUGCUACAAUGGGGGGUACAAAGAGCAGCCAACUGGCAACAGUGCGCGAAUCUCAUAAAACCUCUCGUAGUCCGGAUCGGAGUCUGCAACUCGACUCCGUGAAGUCGGAAUCGCUAGUAAUCGUGAAUCAGAAUGUCACGGUGAAUACGUUCCCGGGCCU
rnacentral:rRNA from 1 species